UGGAGUGUCGUCCAAUGGUAGGACAUCUGACUUUGAAUCAGGUAAUCGGGGUUCGAAUCCCUGCACUCCAGCCA
rnacentral:tRNA from 1 species